GCACAAGAACCGCGCAACCGACCAAAAUCCAUAUGUAGUUCUUUCUACCGAAAAAUUUAUAAAUUCGUGUGUUGCUGUUGCCAUCACACCACAGCAUAUUCCUCUGCGAUUUUGGCUCAACACCAUCACCGAGAGGCUCAAGGCUGGUCUCUGUGUUGCUGUCCAACUACCAACGAGAGCCGCCGUUAGCUGUGAAUAGUGUGACAUUGAUCAUAUGCAUUCACGACAUGAGAUUCCGCCACGAGCCUUUGGGGUCGAGCGAUGCUCCUUCGGGAAUGCCCCACGUCAACGGAUGCCGGUCGCAGUGGAGGCUGGAUUGAUGCUCCUAUAUGGAAUGCCGUCUAGAUGUAGACGAUGCCGCGCUCGACGGUGCGAGGCGAUGCCCGAUUAUGCCGAAAGACUGUUAUCUGAGCAUUGAAAUCAUUUCUGACACAUGAAAUACCUGGUUAUGCCGAAAAACUGUUAUCUAAGCAUUGAAAUCAUUUGUGACACAUGAAAUGCCGGGUUAUGCCAGAAGACUGUUAUCUGUACAUUGAAAUCAUUUGUGACACAUGAAUGGGUGAAAGUGAGGGACCUAAUUAAAAGACGGAACUAUGUGGUGCAGUAUGGGACGUGCCAUAACAGUUUAGUCUAGUAAUUGGGGGUCCAUGUAAUUAUGUGACAUUUAUGUCCUUAUAUAUGUAUGUGUUAAAAGUAUUCCGAUGA